UACGGGGGGGGCAAGCGUUGUUCGGAAUUACUGGGCGUAAAGGGCUCGUAGGCGGCCAACUAAGUCAGACGUGAAAUCCCUCGGCUUAACCGGGGAACUGCGUCUGAUACUGGUUGGCUUGAAUCCGGGAGAGGGAUGUGGAAUUCCAGGUGUAGCGGUGAAAUGCGCAGAUAUCAGGAGGAACACCGAUGGCGAAGGCAGGUCUCUGGGCCAUAACUGACGCUGAGAAGCGAAAGCAUGGGGAGCGAACAGG
rnacentral:rRNA from 1 species